GCAAUCGAUCGAUCAAUCGGAAAGAUAAGGAUAGACGUCCGAUUUUGCAUUAUAUUUUAUACACCUAUAAUGCGUUUCGCCAACGACCACGCGACGUGGGACGAAGCGAUUUACGUGUCUCGGUUGGUUCUGUUGGCGCCACGUUUCCAUCCGCUGCAGCGGAUCUUUGGCUUGGAUUCUGCGGAGCUCCGGGCCCAAGCAUCUCCACCGGCUCGAGCGACGUCGAGCAAAGCUCCUGCAGCUCUCUCCGGACUGGAUAUAUAGUCGCUGGCUCACCUGAGAAACACCGCCUCUACCGCAGACCUUAUUUGGCUCGUGCUUCCCCCGAUACGUACACACGCCCUUCUCCGCGAGUCGCGGUACUUUUUCCUUUUUCCUCUUUCCUUUUUCUG
rnacentral:misc_RNA from 1 species